CCACGAGCGUCCCCGCCGCCCCGGGACGGAAGAGGGCAAGAGGGGCGGCCACUGCAGGGAGGUGACUCCCGGGCCUUUUGGGUGCCCUGGGGCCUGCCACGACCUUGAGCAGCUGGCUCUCCUUUCUUUCCCUUUCUUUUUCUCUCUUCCCUCCUUGUUCUCUUGUGUCUGAACUUCUCUGCUCCAGGACCCUUGCCCUUCCCACCUUUCCCAGAAGACAUUGUCCCCUGCCCCCUCCUCCUCCCUUGCACCCCACCGGGAUAAGACCUUGGGAAAUCCCAGCUUCUAGUCUAAUGUGACCUUGAUAAUAAAAGGAACCACUUGACAGGCAGGUGAGGAAAGAGGGGGCCCAGGACCCAGAGCCCCCAGGCUCCACCCAGCCCCUCCCUGGCUAACUGCUGGCCAGGCUGGGUCCAGCAUCAGGGUCCUCAGUGUUUCCCUCAGUGCAAUGGGCGUAGGGGUGGCACCCAGCUCCUAGGGCCUGUCGGUCAGUGGGAAGUACUUGAACAGCUCUCAGCACCUAGAAAGUUCUCUGCCAGCGUUUGUUCUUAAUCACUACUGCAUUUGUGACCUGCCCUUGGGCCUGACCCCUCUCUGAGCUGCCCGUGCACCACUGACCGCCCAGUUGCCAGCUGAAGACUGUAUUUUCUCUGAGGUAGAUCAGCUGAAUCACGUAAUAGCCACCUCUGAACUAUAAUCAUCUUCGGGGCAGGAACAUUAUUGCUUAUUUAUCUCGAUUCCAGAUGCCUAGGAUUGUUCUCCUGGUGGCCUCAGGGUAGACACUGCAAGUGCCUACAGACACAGGAGAGAAUGGUGACUUCUGCCCUCCCAGAGCAGGUGCAUCCCAUCUGGCCUUGGGGUGCCUGAAGGUGUACUGAGGAAAGGGGGUCAGUGGUGAGCCCUCGGGUGUGGGUCCUGGAACCAGUUGUGUCCAAAGGUGGCUGGCCUUUUGUUCCCUGGAUUCCUCACAAAGUGGUAAAGGGCUCUGGAACAGCUCUGCUGUGUGACCUUGGGGUGGUCCUAAUGCCUCUCUGAGCCUCAGUUUUCCAGUUUGUAAAGAGGGGGUCUGGGAGACCACACUGUACACAUGUACAGAGCUUCUUAACCUUGCCUUGUUGACGUUUGAAGUCAGAUAACUGUUGUCGGGGUACGUCCUGUGCCUCUAGGACAAUAGGCAGCGUACUGUACCUCCUAGAGGCCAGUAGUGCCCCUCCCCAGUGUGGGAGCCAAAACCAUCCCCAGAUACUGCCCGCUGUCCCCUGGGAGAUAGAAUUGCCCCCUGUCGAGAACCACUGAUAAAGAACCUUACACAAACUGUUGGCACACAGUAGGUGCUCAGCGGAUGUCAGUCCCCUUCUCAGCCAGGGAGGGCUAGUGUCAAAUUCACACCAAAAUCCCAUGUUUCGCGGAAGAAUUGACCCACGCCCCCAAAAAGAAUGUCUGGACCUUCCCACACUGUGACUGAGACCAUCCUGGGCCUGUGCCCGUGUCCUGCCCACCCUCUCACUCCCUGGGUUCCUCUGGGAUUUUUCCCCAUCCUCCUCUGAAAGAUGAUACAGCUUUUAAUCAGAUGCUUAAGGCUGGCUGGUGCCCGUGGGCCUCCUCUGUGAACUGAGAGCGUCAGGGCCUCCAUGGAAGGUUGCUGCAGGAUCCCUGAGUGAUGUGGAGAGCCUGGAGUGCGUGGGGGGAGGGCUGAGUGCUGAUCCAUUAAGAUGCAUUUGGCUGCAAGGAGGAGAAACGGGCUACUGAUGGCUUAAGACAGGACAUUGCUUAUUUAGCAAGAGUCUAGAAGAGGUGUAUUCCUAAGGUGGGUUCAGAACUUGGUGACAACAUCAAGUCACCUCUGACCCUGCUGUGCCCAUCACGGAGGCUUUUUCUCCCCAGGUUUGGGGCCUCAGAGUCACAAGAUAGCUGCUGAAAGGGCACCAUUGCCUUCUCACACAGCAAGUCCAUGGCAAGAAGGACAAGGACAAAGGCCCUGCUGACUGCUCUGUGCCUGUCUUAUCAGGGAAGAGCCUCAAGGCCCCAGCAGGUCAGAGCUGGGCCAUGUGGCCACUCUUGCAUGUUCCCUGACGGAGAGCAAAGCCUGCCACCAUUGACUUAGAUCAGACCUGCUUCAUUCCUGGGCCGUGGCUGCCAGAACAACUCGGGGCUCUGCUGUCAAGCAAGAAGGGAUCGACUUGGGGGACACCUAAAGCGUGUGCCACAGGCGUCUGCUGCCGGGCCUGGGGGACAUGCCCAGACUGCAGAGGGGACAGCCCACCGCAUUCAGGCCCUCGGCACCCUUGUGACUCCAGCAGGGGACGGUGGACUAAAAGGACUUAGCCAGUUGCUUCUGUCCUUCGGCAGGUACAUAAUGAGCACCUACUGUGCGCCAGCGAGGGCACCACAGUAAAGACAACCAGUAGGUCCCGCCCUUCAGUCCAGAGCAGGGGACGAAGGGGAAUAACCAAAUAAACAACAAAUAAACCAGAUCCUUGGCUUCCCUCAGGCCCACAGAGGACGUGCUGGGAGACAGGCUCAGGUCACUGCCCACCCCGGGCCCCGUUACCCAGGGUCCCCACUCUUGCUGGGAUCAGUGGGCCCCCAGCUGAUCCUGGCACAGAGCAGCUCCACAAGCCCAAGGGGGGGACUUUCUUUCCCUGUCCCUGCCUCAGCCUUGACCUCUUCUCUCUCCUUCCCCGUCACCCCAGCCACCCGCUCCAGGACUCUGGUGGGCAGCCCCUGGGUCCCGGGCGUGAUCUCUCAGGGCAGGGCUUGGGCCAGGCUGCAGCCGGGAAAGUCAUAAAACAACAGUGAGGUAGGAAAAGGUGAAGACAGAAAAGGAGAAGCCUUCAGCUGGGGGAGGGGAGUGCUGACAGGAGAGGGAGAGUCUCCUGGGGACAAUUUUAGAGCCCGUUGCCACGCUCCUCACUCAGGCUGGGAAAUGCCGAUGCGUCUGGCUUCACGAGUUUCACAUUGUGGGGGAGAAGACUCCGCUGCUUGGCAACUUCAGUCAGUUCCUUGUUCCCGACAAGACCCUGUCAGGUUCCGUGGCCUUGGGACUGCAAGCCUCUCCCUAAGCUUCCCCUACAAGAAAAGUUAAUUAGGAGAAAGCAGGGGGUGGGGAGGGACUUUUCCCCAGGUGCCCAGUGAGCUGCUGGCUGCCCAGGGGUGUCAGUCAUUUUCCACAUGCAAAUGAGUUCUUGGUAUAUCAGGCUCCCCACCCCCACUCUGAGCACCUAGAACAGCUUUCUAAGAAGAGGGAAGUGGCCCCACUGGCCUUGGAACUGGACAGAACAGCUGGACAGCGGAACCCAAGGCUGAUCACACGGACCUAGCUUCAUUGCUUCAGAUGGAAAUAUAAUUCUCCUCCAGAUAGUCCAGUAGAGCCGCCUCUGACUGCCGGCGUCAGCCCCUCUUCAAGCCGGGCACAGUGGCCCACGCCUGUAAUCCCAGCAGCCCAGGAGGCUGAGGCAGGAGGAUCGCGAGUUCCAAGCCAGCCUCAGCAAUGGCGAGGUACCAAGCAACUCAGUGAGACCCUGCCUCUAAAUAAAAUAAAAAAUAAGGCUGGGGAUGUGGCUCAGUGGUCAAGUGCCCCUGGGUUCAAUUCCCAGUAAAGAAAGAAAGGAAGGGAGGGAGGGAGGAAGGAAGGAAGGAAGGAAGGAAAGAAACAACCUCCCAAAGAUAGCCCUGCUGUUGGAAGCAGCUCUCUCUCCAAAGGGCUGUGGUUCCAGAUCUGAUUGGAGCUUGAUAGAUAUCAGAUGAAGCUGGAAUCCAGAGCUUUGCCAAAUCAUAUUGGUGCCACAAAACACUGGGAAUAGAGCUGGGACUUUGCCCCUCUGUCAUUGGCAUGCGUGCCUUCUCAGCCAAUCCGUGGACAGUCUUGUGCUCUAGAAACCAGCUGCUGGGUUCCAGUCCCAGCCCGACCACUUCCUAAUUGUGUGGUUUUUAUGCAGGUGACUUCACCUUUCCAGGCCGCAAUGAUCCUGGUCUGUAAAACGGGGCAGAUGAGUUCCUCCCUCACAGGGUGGUUGUGCAGAUGAAAAGACUUCCCAGAUCUAAAGUGCUUCGAGUGCUGCUGACCCUUGGUUGAUUGUCAGCUGUUCUGAGCAGUGAAGCCCAGAUGCCCAGAGUGUGCUGGCCACUUGGGUCUGAGACCAUCAGGGAGGACAGUGCUGACUGAUGGAAGAUGCAGAAUAACAGAGGGACAGAACCCGUAGCUGUGGUGUCACCGAGCUCCUGAAUUAACCCACGUGGAACCGCCUGCCUCUGGACCUGUUGUGUUGUAAUUUUCCUUGUCAUUUAAGUCAGUUGAAACCUCAGACAGUUCCUUAUCCCCUGACGAGACCCUACCAAGAUGCAGCAAAAGCCUCCUAAUCACUGUCCAUCCCCUUCUGUGGAUUGCUCCCCACUUAGAGCAACGAUCCCCGUAUGGACAGCCGAGCGCACACCCCAGUUUGCCUGAGACAGACAACCCCACAGCAGGCUGUUGUCUCAGCAUAAUUAUUAAUAACUUCCCGGUUUGGACCAUCACAGAAGCUCUGCUUCUGCUUCUCUUUUAAGAUGCAGAUGUCCCAGGGGGUGCGAUCUCCACCGGGUCCCUUUCCCAGUGGAGCAAAGACCCAGGUUCAUAAACCGAAGGUUGGGUUGGGGGGUAAAGGAGAAGAAAAGAGCUCGGAAAGACAGUGGUGCACAGAAGGUGAAUUCUGCACAUGAGUCGAGGGCAGAGAUCGACCUGGAUGGUGCGUCUUGAAAUUCGCAGCCAGCAAGGCCAGAUGGUUUCAGCAGACAAUGCUGGACACACACUCAUGUGUCUGGGUUUUUCUUUUCUUUUUCCAUUUUGUUUCCUGGACUGAAAGCACAAAAUUAGGGCUGUGCAGUCCCAAUCCAGACACCUGGCAGUGCCCACGGAGACUGACUGGGAGCCGACAGAGUCCUCUGGGCCAGCAGAAACACAAACAGCCACACCCUCUCCAACGCCACUCGGGCUCGGGCCGGCUUCCAGAUUUCCAGCACGGAUCCCAUCCUUAGGGGAGAGCGGGGAGUGCCAGCCACAGUCACGCUCCCUGGGAGUGCUCCCCGUGCUCAGGGGCCCCAGACCCACCCUGAGCUCUCGUCCCGCCUGCCCUCCAUGGCAACUGUGAUGGCGGUCAUCCCUGGUUUACUGAUGAGAAAACAGACAAGAGCUGGGGGAAGGUCACUGCGUGGGGACAGAGGCUAGAGGGCGUCCACUCCAAACAGUGAGGAUUCUGUGCAGAGGAAGUUCCUGUCCUCAUGUUGCACCCAAGUCUAAGCCACCUAGGACAGGUACGGAGGCCCCACCGUGUGGGAUCCCCCGCACCCUCCAGCUUGGGGCUUCAGCCAUCUUCACCACGGCCAAGAUGGCCACAUGGGCGCCACAAACCAGCCAGCAGGAAGAGAAAAGGGAAGGGACGGGACGGCGGUCCUGCGGAAGAGCAGACACUUUCGUGAGUCACUUCUGCUCCCGCCUCCCUGGUCAGAAGUUGGCCACCCUGGUGUGUCUGACCUGAAUCCAGGCCACAGGGCUCUACCCCGCAGGUGACACAGGUGGCUGUGGGAAUCCUGUCCCCGCACCCUGGGGCAGUGCCAGGCGGGAAGCUGUGGCUGAAUGAGGGAAGGAAUGAACUAACCCCAAGUUCACGGGCUCCCCGUGGAGAAAACCCUCCCCAUGAACGUGUGGUUCCCCCCAGGCUCCAGGAGACCAGCGAGCAAAACAGACGAAGCACGUCGGAGCGGCGGGCGUCCUGGGGAAGAGAGUCCGUCGUCGGUAGAAACCGUAAAAAGGCCGGGUCCACCAGGUCAAGGACAAGAAACGAGUGGGAUGACCGGGAGGGCUGGGGCAGCAUUCCAGGGGGCGAGGAGGUGACAUCCCCAGCAAGAGGUGGGCCUGCAGGAGGACAGCAGCACAGGGCAGGAGGCUGGGGCGGCCAGGGAAGGCCAGCAGGAGGCCAGGGAACAGCCUGGAGGUGGCCCCAGGAGGCGGGAGGCUCUCAACAGGGGAAGGACUCUGCCUGAGGUGCCAACAGGAUCCUGGGGCUCCCCGGAGACAGGCUCCCCGGACACUCAGGCUCCACGCUGAGAGCGGGGGCUGAGGGCUGCCCACCCUGGCCUGAGCAGCCGGGGACGCGACGCUGAGCCCUUGCUGACGUGACAGACACGACAGGCAGCUCCGUCUGCAUCUGCCCCUCUGCCUGCUGUGCCGCUUUGCCGCCUUUUACCAUAGCCCUUCCCGGCCUCAGUGCUCUCAAGAUGACGAUUUAAAACACACGAUCCCGUCUCCCUCCAAAACUGAUUUGGAAUUACACCGGUUUUCCCGCCAAUUUGUGGAUGGGGCAGUCUGACACCCAGGAAUAGGAGACGGCCAGGUCGGAAGCGGGGAGACCCUUGGGGAGGGCACCGCAGCCGUCCACGCUAUGACGGCGCUGACUGACGGGUGGGCUCCAAACCCCAGGGUGGAAGAGGUCACAGGCGACUCCAGGCGUGGGUCUGCAGGCCUGGAAGGCUGGGCUGGGCACCCACCAGGACGGGACCGCGUGGGUGGGGAAGAUGGGGAGGCGUUGGAUGUCAACUUAGAUGUCGGGUGGAGGCGCUGGGUGGGCUCGGGAGCGGUGGCCCAGACACGUCACCUUAGCAUCGUCAGGAGACAGCUGAAGCCGCGCCUGGGGGAGAUGUGGGGAGGGGACGUGCUGGAGAAGAGAACAGGCGAGGCCCGGCCACACAGCGUCCAGGGCUGGGCAGGCCGUGAGCCCACAAGGACGGGUGUCAUCGACGGUCACUCCCAGCUGCUCACAGAGCUCCCUGGUCACUUUAGGAUAACCGGACGGAGCAGCGGACACUCGUGUUUCCUCUCGUGGUGGAAACGGGCAGAGGGCCACCCUCACGGUCCCCUCCCUCAGAGCCUCAGCUUCCUCCUGGGGCAGAUGAGGACAUUAGGAGCCAGGUCUGUCUGCCAGGUCUCCACGGGACGCUGGGGUCACAACAAGACCUCACAGACCCCAACAUGCUCAAAUACACGGGAACAGGGCUCCCUGCCCACCACCGGGGUUAGGUCCUCAGAAGUGUGAGCCUGAUGCGGAUUGGAUUCAGAGAAAACAGAGGACGUGGGCGGGAAGCCUCCCCCAGCUCCACGCAGUGGCGGGGGGUGGGGACUUCAGAAUCAGCGCUGAGCUAAGAAGCCAGGCAGGAAAGGGCACUUUGUGGAUGAGUCCAUUUACACAGAGCUCAAAGCCCUGUUACACCACAGCGCCCAGGGUGCGCAGGGGGUAGCAGAUCUAUCAGGAAAGGAGGGGAGCACCGGCCUCGAGACUCAGGGGCCUGAGGGGUCUGCUGUCUGGCAACUUUCUUCCUUUGAUUUUUAGUGCUGGGGAAGACCCAGGGGUGUUUUACCACUGAGCUGUUUCCCCAGUUCUUUUAAUUUUUUGUUUUAUUUUAUUUUCAUUUUUUGAGGCAGGGUCUGGCUAAGAUGCUGAGGCUGGCCUCAAACUUGCAAUCCUCCUGCUUCAGCCUCCUGAGUCACCAGGAUCACAAGUGUGUACACAGCUGUACCCUGGGCAAUGUUCUAUUUCUUCACCUGCAUGGUGUGUCAUGGGAAUUUUUGUGUUAUGUUUUAUGUUUAAGCACUUUUGUCUGUAUUCUGUUUCCCAAUUUAAACAUGCAUCCAAAGCCUUAAAAAUAAAUAUAUACAAGGGCUGGGGUUGUGACUCAGAGGUAAAGCACUUGCCUAGCGUGUGUGAGGCACUGAGUUCGAUUCUCAGCACCACAUAUAAAUAAAUGAAUAAAAUAAAGCUCCAUCAACAUCUAAAAAAUCAUUUAAAAAUAAAUACAUAUGUACAUGCAUAUAUACACACCUACAUUCAUGUCCCCUGCCUGUUUUCAUUCUGGUAAUCUAAACUACAGAAAUAAUCACUCCGUCUGGCAAACUUUAAUGCACAAAGAUGUUCACUGCAGCAUCAUUAUAAUAGCCCUGUGUUCUCACUAGUAUUAAAUACUGGAAUCCCGCAUGGCGUGUCUGCAAUGUGGAAAGUUAUUUAGCCAUUGGAAAGUCUGCCCAAAGACUACUUCGUGAAAUAGGAAAAAUGCUCACGAUCAACGGGGGAAAUGAGGAGUGAAGGAGUAGAAUAUAAAUCAUAUGUACUAAAUUAUUAAAAUAAAAACUCCCAAUAGACACAUUACCUGUAGACUGUGAUCCUAAUACUGUCAAUGUGUGUACAUAUGUGUGUACGUGUGUGUACGUGUGUGUGUGUGUGUGAAUAGCAAGAGCACUCACGUUAGGGAAUGGAAUUGUAGGAUCUGUUUUCCUUAUACACUUUUUUCUUGCUGGUGCUGUUUGUGCAGUGCUGGGAAUUGAACCCAGGGCUGCUCGACUGCUAAGCCACAUCCCCAGCCCCUGUUAUUUUUCAUGUUGAGACAGAGCUUCACUAAGUGGCUUAGGGCCUCACUAAAUUUCUGAGUCUGGCCUCAAACCUGGGAUGCUCCUGCCUCAGCCUCUGGAGCCGCUGGGACUACAGGAGUGAGCUCCGUGCCCGGCUGCUUGGCUUGGCUGUGCGGCUUCCCCCUCUCGACGUGGACAGCAGAUGCACCAGGCAGAGGGCCACCCUGCUGGGCUGGCAGGCAGCAUGGCCCCUGGCCUGUGGCUUCUCCCUCCUUCCCCUCUUACUCCUGCCUCCCUGGCCCGCCCCACUCCUCUGCUCCCUUCUCCCCACAGACACCCACGCGGGGAUAUUUCCAGAGUGUUCUCUCGUCCAUCUGCCAUACAUUUGUUUGGAUCUACGUGUAUCCAAAUAGUCGUGGUAAAAAGCACAUGAAGACGGAGACGUUCUGCUUUUUAUGUGUUUCUCCGUUUUUACACCCAAGGCCCCCGAGCUCCUGCUUCUUCCCCCUCCGCCCGGCCUUGGCGAGGUCGCCGUCGCUGCUCUGGGCGGUGGGACUCGGCUGUGUCGGGGGUGCACAACCCCCUCAGCCACGGCGCUGCCCCGGGGGGCUUCCUUCUGGUCCUGGGCAACUGGGGGCCCACCUCCGGCCUCCUCCGCAGGUGAAGGGGCCCGGGAGCUGGCCCUGGGCACCCGCGGGGGAGGCUGGUUCCUCGGCGCUGGCCCUGCAGCCUCCCCGCGGCUCCUCCUCCUCCUUUCCCUCCGAGCUGCUUGGGACGGUGGCCCCUGAGUGGCUUCAUGGUGGCAGAGGCCACCGGUCUGAAUGCUGCCUGGGGAGCAGAUGGCAGGCCAGGCCGUGCCCCCGGCCCUUGUGCGGCAGUGACCCCUCCGUUGGGUGUGGGCCUUGGGUCCACCGUCACCAUGGCCAAUGUGAACUUGAACCAGAACAAGCAAACAAGGCCGUGUUCCCCUCCUGCCCGCCUCCGCUGGGCACUGUUGCCCCAGAGCCCUGGAGCGAGGCCAUCGUGAGCCCUCCACAGUGUCCCUGUGCAUCUGUAGCAGGUAGGAGGCCACAGCCAGGGGCUGCGACCUCAGAGGCCCUGGUGUUCAGGAGCCCGAGGGCACACACCUGCGGGGGGCCAGGGUGGCUGUCACUGGGUCUCGUCUGGCGCCAUCCCUCGGAAGGCUCCGGCUGUGGCUCUGGUGGCCUGGCCCCUGAGGCUGGCUCCUGACCGUCCUUGAGAUUCUGAGCGUGCCCUUCCCUGUCAACAGGACUACGAGGACGAGUUCUGUCGCGCCCAGUGGCUGACCCUUGUCAUAUGCUUGACCAGAGCCCAACAGGGGCGGAUGGUGCGUAUUUUGACUUUAUGGAUCACACAGUUUCUGUGCAGCCCAGGCUGCGGUGGCACUGUUGACACAGCCGCAGGCAAUCUGUAAAUGAGUGGGCGUGGCCACGUUCCAAUAAAACUUUAUAAAAACAGUGGCCCCGGGUUGUAGUUUGCUGAUCUCUGAGCUGAGAAAGAGGUGUCUUCUCUUCAAGUCUGUGUAGUAGUCAUGCCUUGUUUCCUGUCUUACGUACUAAGACAGGAAAACGCAGAGGGGGCCACACACAGCCUCACACCUCCGCGGGGGUCAGCAGUGGACAACCUGCGCAACAGAACCAGGGCACCAGCGGAGUCCAGGCUCGGCCCCACUGAGCCCCCCCUCCCCCCGCGGUGGCAGCCCCCGCCAGCCAGGCUUUAUCCCACGUCCCUGGUGGCAUCCACUUCUUGCUGAGGAAGGAGGGCAACCGUGGGGGCUCCAUUCUCAAAGGCGAACUGUUCCGGUGACUAAUCCGUCUUUCCCUCCCGAGUUUUCAUUUGUCCCGCUCCACUGGGCCUGAGUCAGGCUCUUGUGGAGCUCUGCUUAAAAUGCAGGCGAGUGUCUGCCUCCGACUGCAGACCCGCCAGGCCUGGGCGCCUGGAUUCCAGCAGCGACCUCGGGAGCUGUCCAGGGCUGGCCAGGACUCCCUCCCUGGGCGUCGGACCCGACUCAACAGGGGGAAGAGGGUGAGGGGCCGCGGUACCCCCCAGCACCUCCCCUUCUUCCAGGACCUGCCGCAAAUCUGAUCUCAAAGGCCAGCUCCGAAGCUCUGCACUCGGAUUUGCAAAUGCGAUGGACCCUCUGCUGACCACGCUGCACCUGGACGCCGCUCCCGCAGUCCCGCGGAAGUUCCCACGCUGCUCCUUUCAAUCAGUUGGUGGCUUUCUUUGUGCAGCGUGACGUCGUUUCCACGUGGGCGACUGCUCGACGCCCCCAGCCUGGUCCCGUGGACAGAGCCGAUUCCGGAACCGUGAGAAGGUGCCAGAGCUCCGCCGCGUGGUCCUUGGAUCUGUCUUGGAAGGCUGAAUCGGAGGGGCCAGGACUGGAACAUGCUCAAUCACUGACUGAAUGACCAGGCCUGAUCCGGGUGUCUCCUGCUAGCAAGGAAGGCCCUGUGUGUGCGCAUGGCCAGUCCCGGAAACCCCAGAGGAGCCCAAGGAGAAAAUGAAAAUCACCUGCGUUCCCAGCCUCCACAGACUCGCACGGAACAUGCCGGGUUUUAUGAUUAGGGGACUUUUACUCACAGCGACGCGCAGACCUGAAGCAGGGGGUUGAUGGAUUUGACAAAAGGUCACGCCCGUGUGUGCAGCCCUCCAAUGGAGACCGAGAACAUUUCCAUCGCCUCAGAAAUUCCCCUUGGGUCCCCUCCCAGUGAUGCCCAGCCCCCACCCACGGCGACCCCCCCUCUGAUGUCCGUCGCCAUGAAUUAGUUUUGCCUGCGCCCUAAUUGGAGUCACAUGGCCCAUGUGUACUCCUCGGAGUCUGGUUUCUUUCACUCGGCAUUAAUAAUGCGCUCAGAGUCAUCCAGGCUCCCUCCGCCUGUCCCUUUUUAUUGCUGAGUAGUGCUCCACAGUGCGCUGAACCCCCGGGCCUCCCCGAACUUGGGAGGAUCGGGUGGGUGUCUCCUCCUGGAGGCUGUCAUGAGUGAAGCUACUUGCGAACAUCAGUGGACAAGUCUUCAUUUUUUCUUGAGCAAAUUCUUAAGAGUGGGAUACCUGGGUCCCGGGAUUAGCUUUUGUAAGCGAUCACCAACCAACCAAAGAGUCGGGCUGUUUUGUCUCCACGUAGCUGAACCAGGGUCUUGCUGUUAUUAAGUCUCCUUCACACCUCAGAUACAUGGAGGGGGUGGGGAUGAGACGCGGCUCAGUGACAGAGUGUGUUUCCAACAUGCUCAAGUUUGGGAUUCGUCUCCCCUAAAAAAUAAAUCUGGGCCCAAAGCACAUUUUUCUGCAAUUUGCUUCUUUCAUGUCCACAAAUAGAGCUCAGCUCUUUCUAUGUCGGCAGGUGCAGCCCUUGUUCCUCCUGGAACCUGGCCCCCAGGACACUCUGUCAUGUGUCCCCCGUGGGUGGACACUCAGGUUGCUCCCCAGUUCUCAUCCUGGACAGUGUCCUGUAUUUAUGCUCCUCUCCUCGGGCACCGUGUUUCUCUGGGACAGUAACCCACAAAGAAAUGGCUGGGUUCAGGGUCUGCACAUUCUAAAUGUUGGUAAAAUCAGCCCCAAGAGUCGGGAUUUCUGUCACUGGAUCCCGCGAGGACGGGAACACAUCGUCCACGUGAGAAAAUGGGAGAGGAGUGACCUGGGUAAGCAGGGAGAAGGCCAUGUGAUGGCCAAUGGGACUGGAGGGGGGAGAGCGGCAUCAGGGCUGUGUGGGGAGGUCCUGGACACACUCCCGGAGCCACAUGCCCCGGGCUCACCUG